rnacentral:rRNA from 1 species
GACGAACGCUGGCGGCGUGCUUAACACAUGCAAGUCGAACGGAAAGGCCUCUUUCGGGGGGUACUCGAGUGGCGAACGGGUGAGUAACACGUGAGUAACCUGCCCUUAACUUUGGGAUAACUUCAGGAAACUGGGGCUGAUACCGGAUAGGAGCUCCUGCUGCAUGGUGGGGGUUGGAAAGUUUCGGCGGUUGGGGAUGGACUCGCGGCUUAUCAGCUUGUUGGUGGGGUAGUGGCUUACCAAGGCUUUGACGGGUAGCCGGCCUGAGAGGGUGACCGGCCACAUUGGGACUGAGAUACGGCCCAGACUCCUACGGGAGGCAGCAGUGGGGAAUAUUGCACAAUGGGUGGAAGCCUGAUGCAGCAACGCCGUGUGCGGGAUGACGGCCUUCGGGUUGUAAACCGCUUUCGCUCAUGACGAAGCUUUGUGUGACGGUAGUGGGUAAAGAAGCACCGGCUAACUACGUG